AUUGAACGCUGGCGGCAGGCCUAACACAUGCAAGUCGGACGGUAGCACAGAGAGCUUGCUCUUGGGUGACGAGUGGCGGACGGGUGAGUAAUGUCUGGGGAUCUGCCCGAUAGAGGGGGAUAACCACUGGAAACGGUGGCUAAUACCGCAUAACGUCGCAAGACCAAAGAGGGGGACCUUCGGGCCUCUCACUAUCGGAUGAACCCAGAUGGGAUUAGCUAGUAGGCGGGGUAAUGGCCCACCUAGGCGACGAUCCCUAGCUGGUCUGAGAGGAUGACCAGCCACACUGGAACUGAGACACGGUCCAGACUCCUACGGGAGGCAGCAGUGGGGAAUAUUGCACAAUGGGCGCAAGCCUGAUGCAGCCAUGCCGCGUGUAUGAAGAAGGCCUUCGGGUUGUAAAGUACUUUCAGCGGGGAGGAAGGCGGUGAGGUUAAUAACCUCGCCGAUUGACGUUACCCGCAGAAGAAGCACCGGCUAACUCCGUGCCAGCAGCCGCCGCCG
rnacentral:rRNA from 1 species